GCAACCGCCUACAAAACAAGUCUUCCUUGCCACUCCAAUCCAGGAGGUACAAACUAGCAACCAGGUUAUCUUGGAUGGCCAACUAGCUUCUUAUGAUCUGCAAGGCUUGUUAGAGCUUGUCAUCAUCUGCAAGGCUUCUUACUAGUGCUUGUCAUGAUGAAAUCCAUUGAUGUACCAACUUAACUCUUAUCAAUCAUGUUUCAAACAAGCACCAU
rnacentral:lncRNA from 1 species